UAGGUGUGUUCUUUGUAGGAAAACUUUAUUCUUUUAUUUUAAUAAGGCUAUGACAAUCUCCCGGACACCACACAAGAGGGUACAAAAACAACUUACCUAUGCUGUAUGAAAAGCAGGUAUUUGAA